rfam:Nomascus leucogenys chromosome X, whole genome shotgun sequence.
AUCCUUUUGUAGUUUAGAAGCAUGAUGAUUGGGUUUUUAUGCUCAUAUGAGAUGUGCUUCCUUCAAACCUUGUUAUGACAUCAGCACGUUACCUGUCUGAUG